UACUUCGAAAUACAAAAUAAGUAUGAUUCAAAAUAAAUUAAAACUAUUUACCUAUUGGUUUUUUGUUUGUUUUGGCAUCCAUCUUUGACCCUUCCUUCGCACCAUUCUCCCGCCACAGCUGGUGAGGCCUUGGGCAGAGACAAAAAGGAAAGGGUUGGCACUUGGCACGUGUCAGUAAGAGACAGAAGUUAUGUGACUUUUUUUUUGUGUCCAAGAGUUAUCUGGUUGUCGAUGAAGCUUAGUUUAUAUAGUAUAGAAAAAGAUGGCUUGUAAUAAUUGUGGACUCAAAAAGAGUCUAAUCAUGUAUCCUAAAGCAACUUCGAAAACGGUUUCCUGGUAAAUCUUCAUGAGGUACCUAAGAUGUGACGAAUUGUGACGUCAAGGCAUUCUCGAAGCUUUAAUACUCAUUGGUCAAAUAAAUAGUUUGGAAAUAGUAUUUCAGAGGAUAUAAGGCAGAGUCAUCUCAACAUGAGACGAUUCCCAGUCAGACAUUUAGCUCUACUUGAGGCAGUCGGCUUUAGAAAACCAUUAGUUUGGCUGAACAAAAACUAACUACCAGAAAAUCCGUCAACUUGAAUUUAACGAGACGAAAUUAUGUUUGAGCGUGAAACCGGUCCACGCAAAGGUUUUUUAAAAUAAUGAAAUUACCCAUAUUCUCAUCCUCUUUAUAUUUAAUUCUAAUUUUUACAUUGAAAUUGCGAAUCUUAAUCAAUGGUGGCUUUAGCGUUCAUCCCAAAAAAAUUCUUUGCCAGAGGAUCGCAUGGUUUUUAAGCAUCCAAGCCCUGAGGCUUUAUGUUUCCGUGGAUGAGGAAAACAGGAUGUCGUGCUAGGGAAACAUCCACCAUGUAAUUAUGAUGUCUCAUUUUGCACGUUGUUUUCGGGUCACAGCCACUUUCACACCCUCAAAGUUCGCCAGGGCAAGCUUUCAAAUUCACUCAUAUGACAAAACGGCAGGAGGUGAAAUAACUUGUCCGCUGUCGGAUAUUGCCGACACGUUCUACUUCUACUAGGCUGAUGAACAAACCCUCCCUGGCGGGCUGUACUAGCUGAAGUGGAGAUUGGACCACCUAUAAUGGAUGUGGAUUCAGGGUGGCAGCAGGAACAGCCAUGGAUUGGCUCAUCGAAGGCAGGAUAAAAAAUGAUAUAAUCGUUUCGCGCAAGUGUAUUACAUCACGUGAUAUCAUCGUAAGAUAGCUAGAAACCCAGAAUGACACAGCACAAUGGAACAGAUGGAGGAUGAUUCCAAACUAUUCGCAGUAGGCCACGUCUACUAUGAAUUUUCAACUUUGCUAUGUCUACUGGCGGCUUUUCUUAAAUCCCGCAAACGACACUACCAUGGAAAAGAACCGAUUGAUUUAGAAAUAGGAGAAAUAGUGACCAAGUAUUUUGAAGAAUCUCGACACCAUCUAGUGUCAAGAUAUAGCAAUAUUGGUAUUUCAAGCGGACGAAAGAAGAAGUUGACGAUGAAAAUUGUAAAUAGAACCUUUCACGUCAAGUGGUUUAAUCCAGCCUGACGAACUAUCUAUAGAAGCAGCCUGGUGUCCUACAGUUCGUCGAGUAUUGCAUACAAAUUUCUGUGCAUCUAGCCGUAUUUCAACAAUAUUGUUUAGCAACGCAAAAAGCGGGGCGAGUGGAAAGGCUGCCACGAAGAUCGUGAUGAAACCAAACUGCAUCACUGACACAGAAACGUAUUCUUGAAACAAACCAGCAUUCUCAACUAGCUGAUAAUCUGCCUCCCACCUUUUAGAUUUGCCUUUAUCUUGAGUGAAUUCCACCUUGAAAACAAAAAUAAAAGCAAGGCUUGAACUUUUGGCCACAAGAUUUCUUGUGCGUUGUUGAUGACCUGCUUACCAACCAUGAUUAUGAAUAACUGCUGGGAAAGCUCAACUAGACACCCGCCAGCGCUACACUAUAUCAUAUACAACAAAAAAAUUAUUCUAGGACAUUAAACAGUUUCCCGGGUAGCCGACGAAUCGACCCUUGAAGAAAGCAAUGUAAAACGGGGAUGCAUAGAGGUUGACAAAUUGAAAGGCGAAGACCUUGAAAGUUAAAUUAUCUUCAAACUCGAUUUGGGUUCGAUGCAUUUCUAAACGUGAAAGAAAUAUUCAAAGUUUAGCUGAUGACGUUUGGAUUAUAACUUAUGUAAAAUAAAAUUGUAUAACUCA